UUGACGUUUAAAAACGAAAAUCAAAACAGCAAAACUUUGUUUUAUAAAAAGUAUGAGCUUUACAUAAUAAUAAAGUAAUACUUAUCCAAGUAUAUUUCUUCAAAAUGUCAGCGAAAACCGAGGAGGCGGCGCCUCGCGACUGUUUGGGGUGCAGAAUUUUCGGAGCCGUGGGUCUGAUCGGCAUUGGAGGUUAUCUUGCAAAUUUAGCGUUUAAAAACAAAACUCUGCCCGGAAGAAUACUGAUUUCUACUUUUUCUCUCACAUUCGUGAGUCUCGGCAUAGCAAGAUAUAAACAGACUUUCCCAUUUGAGAAGAGAUCAUCAGAGGCGGUACAAUGGAAAUCAUAAAACUAUCACUUUAUUGUUAUUUAGAAUUUAUUAAUUUAAGUUGAAAUAAAAUUGUAGAUUUAAAACA